UACGGAGGGGGCUAGCGUUGUUCGGAAUUACUGGGCGUAAAGCGCACGUAGGCGGCUUUGUAAGUUAGAGGUGAAAGCCCAGAGCUCAACUCUGGAACUGCCUUUAAGACUGCAUCGCUUGAAUCAUGGAGAGGUUAGUGGAAUUCCGAGCGUAGAGGUGAAAUUCGUAGAUAUUCGGAAGAACACCAGUGGCGAAGGCGACUAACUGGACAUGUAUUGACGCUGAGGUGCGAAAGCGUGGGGAGCAAACAGG
rnacentral:rRNA from 1 species